rnacentral:lncRNA from 1 species
CUAUUUUGUAUUUUCUCUGCAUCCCAGAGUUGGUACGGUCAAAGAGACUAAGUGCUACCUGGAUGUUGCUCACCACCUGCCUGUCUGCCUCUUUUCUACCCAGUGCAAGACUUAUUUCAAAUUCCUACAGGGUAUGCUUGGCGAGGACUCAUUUUACUGUGCCCAAUCCAGUGGUCAGUAGGCAAACUAGGUAGACUUGGGGAGGCCCAGGCCUCAUUCUAUCUGCUAGGCUUUGUUUAGAAAUCUUAAUCCUAAUUAUUCUUGAGUACAUUUAAAACAGUAAAUUUUUUGUCACACCGAUCAGCCACUAGAACUGAAGGGCAGUUUUUUAUCUUUUCUCUUUAAAGAAUGUAGAACAGAACAAACACAAGUAGUUAUCACAACUGGAAGUCCACCUCGCUGAGACAGGGAAUUCUCUUCAAGACUUACGUGCAGCUGCCUACUUGACAUCUGUUUGGAUGUCUAAUGGAAAUCUUAAACAGUCCCAAACUGAGCUUCCCCCAGAUGCACCUCUCCCACAGUGCUCUCCAACUGUGGCCAGUUGCUCAGGCCAAACACCCUGGAGUCAUCCUUAAAUCUGCCUUCUCUCAUGGACCUGGCAUCUAUUAGACAGUGAGUGAAUUUUACUGGGUCGAACUUUAAAAUAUAAACAGAAUCCCACUGCUUCUCACUACCACCCUUGUCACCGUUGCCUCUCACUUAGAUUAUUGCCCUUUGCUUCCUACCCUGGCUCCCUCAGCAGUCUUUGCUGAACACCAAAGCCAGAGUGAGCCUGCUAAGAUCACAUCACUUCUCUGCCCCAAAUUCCUUUCUCAAGUAGAGGAAAAGCCAAAGUCCUCAAAAUCAGCUAUCAGGUCCUCCACACCAGCCACACUGCCUUCCUUUAGCAAAGCAGGCACACUCCCACCUCAGGAUCUUCGUACUUCUUCUUUCUGCCUGGCAUGCUUUCCCUCCUUCGAGUCUCUGGCCAAAUGUAACCCCCUCUCUCUGUGAGCCCGUCCUGGCCCACCUACGGAAACUGCAACCUCUGCCCCACCCUGCC